rnacentral:rRNA from 1 species
UACGUAGGGAGCAAGCGUUAUCCGGAUUUAUUGGGUGUAAAGGGUGCGUAGACGGGAAGGCAAGUUGGUUGUGAAAUCCCUCGGCUUAACUGAGGAACUGCAACCAAAACUAUCUUUCUUGAGUGCUGGAGAGGAAAGUGGAAUUCCUAGUGUAGCGGUGAAAUGCGUAGAUAUUAGGAGGAACACCAGUGGCGAAGGCGACCUUCUGGACAGUAACUGACGUUGAGGCACGAAAGUGUGGGGAGCAAACAGG